UUAUCGGAGAGUUUGAUCCUGGCUCAGGACGAACGCUGGCGGCGUGCCUAAUACAUGCAAGUCGAGCGGACAGAUGGGAGCUUGCUCCCUGAUGUUAGCGGCGGACGGGUGAGUAACACGUGGGUAACCUGCCUGUAAGACUGGGAUAACUCCGGGAAACCGGGGCUAAUACCGGAUGCUUGUUUGAACCGCAUGGUUCAAACAUAAAAGGUGGCUUCGGCUACCACUUACAGAUGGACCCGCGGCGCAUUAGCUAGUUGGUGAGGUAACGGCUCACCAAGGCAACGAUGCGUAGCCGACCUGAGAGGGUGAUCGGCCACACUGGGACUGAGACACGGCCCAGACUCCUACGGGAGGCAGCAGUAGGGAAUCUUCCGCAAUGGACGAAAGUCUGACGGAGCAACGCCGCGUGAGUGAUGAAGGUUUUCGGAUCGUAAAGCUCUGUUGUUAGGGAAGAACAAGUACCGUUCGAAUAGGGCGGUACCUUGACGGUACCUAACCAGAAAGCCACGGCUAACUACGUGCCAGCAGCCGCGGUAAUACGUAGGUGGCAAGCGUUGUCCGGAAUUAUUGGGCGUAAAGGGCUCGCAGGCGGUUCCUUAAGUCUGAUGUGAAAGCCCCCGGCUCAACCGGGGAGGGUCAUUGGAAACUGGGGAACUUGAGUGCAGAAGAGGAGAGUGGAAUUCCACGUGUAGCGGUGAAAUGCGUAGAGAUGUGGAGGAACACCAGUGGCGAAGGCGACUCUCUGGUCUGUAACUGACGCUGAGGAGCGAAAGCGUGGGGAGCGAACAGGAUUAGAUACCCUGGUAGUCCACGCCGUAAACGAUGAGUGCUAAGUGUUAGGGGGUUUCCGCCCCUUAGUGCUGCAGCUAACGCAUUAAGCACUCCGCCUGGGGAGUACGGUCGCAAGACUGAAACUCAAAGGAAUUGACGGGGGCCCGCACAAGCGGUGGAGCAUGUGGUUUAAUUCGAAGCAACGCGAAGAACCUUACCAGGUCUUGACAUCCUCUGACAAUCCUAGAGAUAGGACGUCCCCUUCGGGGGCAGAGUGACAGGUGGUGCAUGGUUGUCGUCAGCUCGUGUCGUGAGAUGUUGGGUUAAGUCCCGCAACGAGCGCAACCCUUGAUCUUAGUUGCCAGCAUUCAGUUGGGCACUCUAAGGUGACUGCCGGUGACAAACCGGAGGAAGGUGGGGAUGACGUCAAAUCAUCAUGCCCCUUAUGACCUGGGCUACACACGUGCUACAAUGGACAGAACAAAGGGCAGCGA
rnacentral:rRNA from 1 species